rnacentral:rRNA from 1 species
AGCGAACGCUGGCGGCAGGCCUAACACAUGCAAGUCGAACGAACCUUUCGGGGUUAGUGGCGGACGGGUGAGUAACACGUGGGAACGUGCCUUUAGGUUCGGAAUAACUCAGGGAAACUUGUGCUAAUACCGAAUGUGCCCUUCGGGGGAAAGAUUAAUCGCCUUUAGAGCGGCCCGCGUCUGAUUAGCUAGUUGGUUGAGGUAAUGGCUCACCAAGGCGACGAUCAGUAGCUGGUCUGAGAGGAUGAUCAGCCACAUUGGGACUGAGACACGGCCCAAACUCCUACGGGAGGCAGCAAUGGGGAAUCUUGCGCAAUGGGCGAAAGCCUGACGCAGCCAUGCCGCGUGAAUGAUGAAGGUCUUAGGAUUGUAAAAUUCUUUCACCGGGGACGAUAAUGACGGUACCCGGAGAAGAAGCCCCGGCUAACUUCGUG